rnacentral:rRNA from 1 species
GACGGGGGCCCGGCACGAAGCCGGGUGGAGCAUGUGGUUUAAUUCGAUGAUACGCGAGGAACCUUACCUGGGCUCAAAUGUAUGUUGACGUAUUUCUGAAGGGAUACUUCUUCGGACAAUAUACAAGGUGCUGCAUGGUUGUCGUCAGCUCGUGCCGUGAGGUGUCGGGGUUAAGUCCCAUAAACGAGCGCAACCCCUAUCAUUAGUUGCCAUCAGGUCAAGCUGGGGACUCUAAUGAAACUGCCUACGCAAGUAGUGAGGAAGGUGGGGAUGACGUCAAAUCAGCACGGCCCUUACGUCCAGGGCUACACACGUGCUACAAUGGCCGGUACAACGGGCAGCGAAGGAGCGAUCCGGAGCGAAUACCUAAAAAGCCGGUCCCAGUUCGGAUUGCAGGCUGAAACUCGCCUACAUGAAGUUGGAGUUGCUAGUAAUCGCGAAUCAGAAUGUCGCGGUGAAUGCGUUCCCGGGUCUU